UACGUAGGGUGCGAGCGUUACUCGGAAUUACUGGGCGUAAAGGGCUCGUAGGCGGCCAACUAAGUCGGAUGUGAAAUCCCCAGGCUUAACCUGGGAACUGCAUCCGAUACUGGAUGGCUUGAAUCCGGGAGAGGGAUGCAGAAUUCCAGGUGUAGCGGUGAAAUGCGUAGAUAUCUGGAGGAAUACCGGUGGCGAAGGCGGCAUCCUGGACCGGCAUUGACGCUGAUGAGCGAAAGCUAGGGGAGCAAACGGG
rnacentral:rRNA from 1 species